UGUAGCUCAAUUGGUAGAGUGCUUGCCUAGCAUGCAUGAGGCUCUGAGUUCAAACCCCAGCA
rnacentral:tRNA from 1 species